rnacentral:rRNA from 1 species
CAGCCGUAAACUAUGCGCGUUAGGUGUACUGGUGACCACGAGUCACCGGGGUGCCGAAGGGAAACCGUGAAACGUGCCGCCUGGGAAGUACGGUCGCAAGGCUGAAACUUAAAGGAAUUGGCGGGGGAGCACCACAACAGGUGGAGCCUGCGGUUUAAUUGGACUCAACGCCGGGAAGCUCACCGGAUAGGACAGCAGAAUGAUUGCCGGGCUGAAGACCCUGCAUGACUAGCUGAGAGGUGGUGCAUGGCGUCAGUGACU